rnacentral:rRNA from 2 species
GACGAACGCUGGCGGCGUGCCUAAUACAUGCAAGUCGAACGAACUCUGGUAUUGAUUGGUGCUUGCAUCAUGAUUUACAUUUGAGUGAGUGGCGAACUGGUGAGUAACACGUGGGAAACCUGCCCAGAAGCGGGGGAUAACACCUGGAAACAGAUGCUAAUACCGCAUAACAACUUGGACCGCAUGGUCCGAGCUUGAAAGAUGGCUUCGGCUAUCACUUUUGGAUGGUCCCGCGGCGUAUUAGCUAGAUGGUGGGGUAACGGCUCACCAUGGCAAUGAUACGUAGCCGACCUGAGAGGGUAAUCGGCCACAUUGGGACUGAGACACGGCCCAAACUCCUACGGGAGGCAGCAGUAGGGAAUCUUCCACAAUGGACGAAAGUCUGAUGGAGCAACGCCGCGUGAGUGAAGAAGGGUUUCGGCUCGUAAAACUCUGUUGUUAAAGAAGAACAUAUCUGAGAGUAACUGUUCAGGUAUUGACGGUAUUUAACCAGAAAGCCACGGCUAACUACGUGCCAGCAGCCGCGGUAAUACGUAGGUGGCAAGCGUUGUCCGGAUUUAUUGGGCGUAAAGCGAGCGCAGGCGGUUUUUUAAGUCUGAUGUGAAAGCCUUCGGCUCAACCGAAGAAGUGCAUCGGAAACUGGGGAAACUUGAGUGCAGAAGAGGACAGUGGAACUCCAUGUGUAGCGGUGAAAUGCGUAGAUAUAUGGAAGAACACCAGUGGCGAAGGCGGCUGUCUGGUCUGUAACUGACGCUGAGGCUCGAAAGUAUGGGUAGCAAACAGGAUUAGAUACCCUGGUAGUCCAUACCGUAAACGAUGAAUGCUAAGUGUUGGAGGGUUUCCGCCCUUCAGUGCUGCAGCUAACGCAUUAAGCAUUCCGCCUGGGGAGUACGGCCGCAAGGCUGAAACUCAAAGGAAUUGACGGGGGCCCGCACAAGCGGUGGAGCAUGUGGUUUAAUUCGAAGCUACGCGAAGAACCUUACCAGGUCUUGACAUACUAUGCAAAUCUAAGAGAUUAGACGUUCCCUUCGGGGACAUGGAUACAGGUGGUGCAUGGUUGUCGUCAGCUCGUGUCGUGAGAUGUUGGGUUAAGUCCCGCAACGAGCGCAACCCUUAUUAUCAGUUGCCAGCAUUAAGUUGAGCACUCUGGUGAGACUGCCGGUGACAAACCGGAGGAAGGUGGGGAUGACGUCAAAUCAUCAUGCCCCUUAUGACCUGGGCUACACACGUGCUACAAUGGAUGGUACAACGAGUUGCGAACUCGCGAGAGUAAGCUAAUCUCUUAAAGCCAUUCUCGGUUCGGAUUGUAGGCUGCAACUCGCCUACAUGAAGUCGGAAUCGCUAGUAAUCGCGGAUCAGCAUGCCGCGGUGAAUACGUUCCCGGGUCUUGUACACACCGCCCGACACACCAUGAGAGUUUGUAACACCCAAAGUCGGUGGGGUAACCUUUUAGGAACCAGCCGCCUAAGGUGGGACAGAUGAUUAGGGUG